CGCAUCUGUGCAUGCAGCAUAUCAAUAAGCGGAGGAAAAGAAACUAACAAGGAUUCCCUUAGUAACGGCGAGUGAAGCGGGAAGAGCUCAAAUUUGAAAUCUUCAAGGUUUUACCUUGACGAAUUGUAGUUUAAAGAAGUGUUUUCUGUUGAAGUUUUGGUAAAAGUUCUUUGGAAUAGGACAUCAUAGAGGGUGAGAAUCCCGUAUUUGACCAUUAUUUUCAGCUGUGUGAUACACUUUCAAAGAGUCGGAUUGUUUGGGAAUGCAGUCCAAAAUGGGUGGUAAAUUUCAUCUAAAGCUAAAUAUUGGCGAGAGACCGGAUAGCGAACAAGUACCGUGAGGGAAAGAUGAAAAGAACUUUGAAAAGAGAGUUAAACAGUACGUGAAAUUGUCAAAAGGGAAGCGUUUGACACCAGUGUUGUUUUCUCGAAAAUCAAUUAAAAAGAGUUAGAUUUUGUUGUGUAUUGACCUUAACAGCUUGCAUUUCAAUUUUCUUGCUUUUUUUAAUGCACUUUUCGUUUAACAAGUCAACAUCAGUUUCUUUUGUUGUAAAAAGGUCAUUGGAAGGUGGCUUUCUUUUCGGAGAAAGUGUUUAUAGCCUUUGACUCCUGCAAUCGGAGAGACUGAGGUCUGCAGCGUAGAUCCUUCGGGGUUAGAUACAUUUGUGCUAAGUUAUAGCUUUUUAUAGACAACUUGUUGACUAUGAUUAGUCUUGUAGCUUACUCGCUUAUGCUAUUUUACCUACGCUUAGGAUGUUGAUCUGUAGUGCGUGCGC
rnacentral:rRNA from 1 species